GACGAACGCUGGCGGCGUGCUUAACACAUGCAAGUCGAACGGAAAGGCCCUGCUUUUGUGGGGUGCUCGAGUGGCGAACGGGUGAGUAACACGUGAGUAACCUGCCCUUGACUUUGGGAUAACUUCAGGAAACUGGGGCUAAUACCGGAUAGGAGCUCCUGCUGCAUGGUGGGGGUUGGAAAGUUUCGGCGGUUGGGGAUGGAUUCGCGGCUUAUCAGCUUGUUGGUGGGGUAGUGGCUUACCAAGGCUUUGACGGGUAGCCGGCCCGAGAGGGUGACCGGCCACAUUGGGACUGAGAUACGGCCCAGACUCCUACGGGAGGCAGCAGUGGGGAAUAUUGCACAAUGGGCGGAAGCCUGAUGCAGCAACGCCGCGUGCGGGAUGACGGCCUUCGGGUUGUAAACCGCUUUCGCCUGUGACGAAGCGUGAGUGACGGUAAUGGGUAAAGAAGCACCGGCUAACUACGUG
rnacentral:rRNA from 1 species